ACGGCCCUGCUGCUGGCCAGCGCCAGGGCGGCCGCGGGCACUGAGGCCACGCACCCGCCGGAGGGGCCGCAGGACAGGACCCCGCAGCAGAAGGGGCGCCUGUCCCUGCAGAACACAGCUGAAAUCCAGCACUGCCUGGUAAAUGCUGGCGAUGUGGGAUGUGGAGUGUUUGAAUGCUUUGAAAACAAUUCUUGCGAGAUCCGAGGCUUACACGAGAUCUGCAUGACAUUCCUGCACAACGCUGGAAAAUUCGAUGCCCAGGUAACAUGCUUCAUUUAAUAUGGAGGUGGCUUUAGCCUCUGCUAUGACAUGACUUUUCACAGCUCCUCUCUCUAUUAUCUACAGUUAUUUCAGGCUGCAUUAAAUGACAAGACUAAUGCUGUCCAUUUUCUGUUCUCUGCUCUGAAACCUGAGAAUUGAUGUCAGGUUUGGUUUAUGUAAGAAUUCUCUUUUUCAUCCUUAUUUGCCUACUGUGCUCUGCAUGUUUGUUACUGAAGGGAAGGGCAAGUAAGUGCCUUUGGUAUGGGGAAUAGAAAGGGAUGAUGACUGAAGCAACUCUUUGAUCAGCAAGAAAUAUUUCUGGCUUGAAACGAUUUGGGGACGACAUCUGCUUGCAGGUCUGGGUGAACCUGACUUAGUCACUUAGAUGACUUAGUGACAGUGGGAGCUGUGCCAGUGUACUCUUGGGAUAAAGGGGAACAAGGAUUUGGUCUUCAUGAAGCACCUGUGUAAAAUCUGAAGCUGAUGAAGAGGUGGAGGCAGCACAAGAGACUAUUGCUCAGCAAAGUAAAGGGAGUCUGAGCAGAGCAGUUGCAUGAAUGGCAGCUGCAGUGUCAGAUGGCAAAGAGAAAAGGAGGGGAUGGGUUUGGUGUCCACUAAGCAAGUGAAUGCAGGAAUCACAAAUAGUGGUUAAAGAGAAGUUGCUAAAGCAGAUUUUCUCCACCUUAAUUUUUUAGUUUCUUGAUUUAAUCUCACUUAGAAUUUCUUGCAGCAGACAUAAAGACACUG